UACGGGGGGGGCAAGCGUUGUUCGGAAUUACUGGGCGUAAAGGGCUCGUAGGUGGUCAACUAAGUCGGACGUGAAAUCCCUCGGCUUAACCGGGGAACUGCGUCCGAUACUGGAUGACUUGAGUUCGGGAGAGGGAUGCGGAAUUCCAGGUGUAGCGGUGAAAUGCGUAGAUAUCUGGAGGAACACCGGUGGCGAAGGCGGUUCUCUGGGCCUUACCUGACGCUGAGGCACGAAAGCUAGGGGAGCAAACAGG
rnacentral:rRNA from 1 species